rnacentral:rRNA from 1 species
UACGUAGGGGGCAAGCGUUGUCCGGAUUUAUUGGGCGUAAAGAGCGUGUAGGCGGCUUACAGGUCCGUUGUGAAAACUCGAGGCUCAACCUCGAGACGCCGGUGGAAACCGUAAGCUAGAGUCCGGAAGAGGAGAGUGGAAUUCCCGUGGUGUAGCGGUGAAAUGCGCAGAUAUCGAGGAAGAACCAGCCCGUAGGCGAAGGCGGCUCGUCUAGUACGGUAGCUGACGCGAAGACGCGGAAAGCGUAGGGGAGGCGA